UGGGGAAUAUUGGACAAUGGGGGCAACCCUGAUCCAGCAAUGCCGCGUGAGUGAUGAAGGCCUUAGGGUUGUAAAGCUCUUUCGCCCGAGACGAUGAUGACGGUAUCGGGAGAAGAAGCCCCGGCUAAUUUCGUGCCAGCAGCCGCGGUAAUACGAAAGGGGCUAGCGUUGUUCGGAGUUACUGGGCGUAAAGCGCGCGCAGGCGGCUGAUCAAGUGAGGCGUGAAAGGCCUGGGCUCAACCUGGGAAUGGCGCAUCAGACUGGUUGGCUGGAGUCCGGGAGAGGGUGGUGGAAUUCCCAGUGUAGAGGUGAAAUUCGUAGAUAUUGGGAGGAACACCGGUGGCGAAGGCGGCCACCUGGCCCGGUACUGACGCUAUAGCGCGAAAGCGUGGGGAGCAAACAG
rnacentral:rRNA from 1 species